GAUUUCUGACGGAGGCUUGGUGCUCGCUUCCGCAAGGAAGUGCGGUGCCGCUGUCUGCGUCAUCCUUCUAGAUGACGCGUGUGCUAGGUUUACUCCUGGUGCGCGCGGCUGUCUAGAUCUUUUACUUUGAAGAAAUUAGAGUGUUCAAAGCAGGCAUACCGCUUUGCAUACAUUAGCAUGGAAUAAUAAUCUAGGACUUCGGUUCUAUUUUGUUGGUUUCUAUAACUGAAGUAAUGAUUGAUAGGGAUAGUUGGGGGUGCUAGUAUUGGCCGGCCAGAGGUGAAAUUCUUGGAUUCGGUCAAGACUAACUUAUGCGAAAGCAUU
rnacentral:rRNA from 1 species